CCGAAUCCGCGGCGAGCAAAACUGAGGAGAAGGCGGAAAUACCGUACCUGUGGUAGUUGGCGUUAGUCACACAAUGGCGUGUGUUUUAUUGUAAGUGUUUUUUGUCUCUAGGUAGCUUUACAAUAGUGGUCUAGGUCAGUGUUUUUUGGUGUGUGUGUGUGUGUGUGUGUGUGUGUGUGUGUGUGUGUGUGUGUGUUAACGUUUAUUUAUUUAUUGAGAGAGCGCGCAGGCGCGCGGGAACACCAACCUGGGGAGGGGUAGAGAGAGCGGGAUAGAGAUCAAAUUCCAAGCAGUCUCCGCAUUGUCAGUGCAGAGCCAGAUGUCGGGCUCCAUCUCGGAACCAGGAGAUCAAGACCUGAGCAGAGAGGAAAAGUCAGACAUUUCACUGACUGAGCCACCCAGGCGCCCCAGGCAUGAAAUAUCUGAGCAUUUGUUUGUGUCAUCUUCAAUUCUUGCAUCAGUAUUUUACAGUUUCCAGAGUACAGAAAGAGCAUUUUACAAUCCAAUACUCAAAGUGAUGGAAAAAUGUUUAGAAGAAUGGGGUAAGCAUUACAGUAUCCAGUUCUCCAUAAUAUAGCUGUCCUGGAGCAGCAGAGGGCCUCUGGAGGGGCCAUGUGGCAAAAACCUGAAGGUGAUCUCUAGAAGCUUAGAGUGGCCUCAAAUCAACAACCAGCAAGAAAAAGGUUCCUAACCACACAACCCAAAAGAACUGAAUUCUCCUAACAACUAUGUGAGCUUGGAAGAGACCCUUAAGCCUCAGGCUUUUGCAUUGAACCAUGGGCUAGCCAAGCUAAAUUCCAAAAGUUUAAAGACAACUUGGAUGAGAAGCAGGACAAAUAAAAGAUAUAUUGUGGAAAACAUAACAAGUUUCACAAGAAUUACUUUGCAAAAAAAGGUGGAGAUGGAGUGCUUCCUUUCCCGUGUUGCUGAUGCUGCCAUGGAAUUACUUUGGAAGAAUUACAGAUGGUAUUAAUUACAGUUUCAACAGCAACCACCAUCCGUAUGGCAUUCUGCAAAGUGUUUGCUUGUAUUUUACCUCGGUCCAGAAAGCCUGUGACGUAGUUUCAGUAGGUGCUCUUGUCAUUCCUAACGUACAGAUGAACCAGAAAUUUGGAGCGGUUGAGAGACUUUCCCAAGGUCACGUGCUCUGAUGGCAGUGGCACUCAGGACAGAGUCCUGAUCCGUCUUCUUCUAAACCUCUGAUGAGCUUCCACGUAAGGUAUAAACUCUCGCCCCUCGUGCAUGCAACACAACUUUUGAAGGUCUGUGAAAAGCAUUUGGAAUAUAUGGAUUAUACUUGGGAAUACCUUUUCUUUUUUCAGCAACUAAAUCAUUGUCCCUUCUCAUAAAGCUUACCACGAUUUCAGGGUACCCCAAGAAUUAUUGACAAGGUUAUUUUCAAAUGGCCAACUUAUGGAGAGGUAUUCUAAUAAAACUAAAUUAGGUUUAUGCUUUCUGUCUGUUAUCAAACAACAAAUAGUAAGAGUGGUAUAAAUUCCUAUAUUGAGGGAAAGAGAGCAGAUGCUCUAAACCUGCUUUGCCCAAUGUAGAGGCUGCUAACCAUGUGUAGCUAUUGAAAUUUAAAUUAAUUUUUAGUAAGUUAAAUAACAUAAAAAUGCCAGUUCUUCAGUCACACUAACCACAUUUCAAGGGUUCUGUAGCCACAAGGGGCCAGUGACUAUUGUAUUGGGCACCACAGACAUAGAACAUUUUCAUCUUUGCAGAAAGUGCUGUUGGAGGGGCGCCGGGGUGGCUUAGUUUAUCGUCUGACUCUUGAUUUCCACUGGGGUCAUGCUCUCACAUUUGGUGAGUUCGAGCCCAACACCCAGCUCUGUGCUGACAGCAUGGAGCCUGCUUGAGAUUUUCUCUCUCCUUCUCUCUGCCCUUCCUGUGUACCCUCCCUUGCCCUCCCCACCCCCCCACUCUCAGAAUAAAUAAAUAAACAUUUAAAACAAAGAAAGUCUUAUUGGACUGUGCUGGCCUAAAGUGUAGCUGUUGUUACCCAUGUCGGUCUGCUUCUUUCUCGAGCAACUCUAGCUCUAUAGAGUUGUCCUCAAGGGUGAGUGGUAUGAGGUGUGUGUGUGUGUGUGUGUGUGUGUGUGUAAAAUGAACCAUGAUUCUAUUCUCCACCAAAAUGCUAGGAAAACCAGCAAGUCGCAAAUAAACAUAGACUAUUUAUGUGGCUUCUCUUGAUGUGGGAAGAGACUCAAAUCUCUAUGUUAAUAUCAGUCAACCCUUAAGACAAUUUCAGCAAUAGACUGUUGUAUGAAAAGAGUUGUAUGA